CCAUCCUUCUCUUUCAUAGCUAUCACUUGAUAGAUAGAAUGGCUUCUAAUCCAUCCUUGCUUCUUAUUAGUCUCAAUCAAAGAGGAAAGAGCCUAUUUUUCUUUAAAGUGACUUGCCUUCCUAGCGCUAAGCAUAGAAAGCUCUCACGCGCACAAUAGACUCUAUCAGACUAGGAAUCUGUUACCGUUCCCCAACCCAAAGAGGUUAAUCGAUGCAAUUGCACUCUGUCUUGUGUUUCCUUGAAAGACUAGCUCUUCCCUACUGACCUUUCCUUACUCGCUGGUUAGCUGGAAGAAGCUGUCCGCUCGUGCUUCUUUCGAGUGAGAUGUCCAUACCAGGCAAUCAUCUCUUCUUUGGCAUUCCCGUAUCCGUCCAACCUUGAUCUGCUACCUCUCCACUUUCAAUCUUAUUUUGAAACUUACCCCUUCAGAAAGAUUCACCACAAAAUCUGCAUAUGCACUGGUAGCCACAACCAUUGAAGAUGAACCAAACCUUUCAUUUCCAAACUGUCAAGACCUUCGCUGGCCACCCCCACUCUCAACAAACUCAAAUACUUCCUAAGGCUCUGUGCCCAUAAUCGUCUUCCAACCAGGAGUCAUCCGCACCACAUACACAUUCUAGCUGAAAACUUCUGCCCUCUUUGUCCUUUCGAAACGAAAAAUGUUCUCCAUGUGCUUCGAGACUGCACAAAAGCUAAAACUAUAUGGAGGGAGUCAAUCUCCAUCUAUGAAAUUCUUUAUGAAAAGUGAAGUCAUAAGUUCGUUGAUUGAUAGCCAUCACGCAGGCGUACCAUCAUUUAGGCUUUUCGAGACUCACAAGCUGCUUAUGCAAGGGAAUUGCCCAAGAGGGCCUUCUCGACCAAUCCUAGCUACCUUGAGUUCACAUGCCAUAUAUCUGCUUAUCAAACUUCCUCUCCGGUAAGGGAGAUAGAUGGGUAGUUCCUACUCAUUGCCUCUAGUUUUUUGGCGGCUGGGAAUAAAAGCACAGACGCGGAUAUAGGGAAAAAUUCAUAUAGAAAUGCCAAGGCGGGGAUACCAAUCCUGAGACAGAGCUUGCAUCUUCCCAGCCUGCGUCAUCUCGUCGAGCACUAACUCAAUCCGUAACUCUUAUUGAAUGAACUGCUUGAAUUUGAACCCGCCAGUCUCAAAAGAAUGUCUUGCCUCGAUCUUUGCCGUUCAAAAGUUAAGACACUACCACCAGGAACCCCCCUAUAACCCCCAGGCAGGAGCUUUCCAGAGAAUUACUUACUCACAAUAGAGUGCUACUACAGAGAAGGAAGGGGAAAGUCAUCAAAAAAGUUCAGAAAGAUUGGUAACUAGAAGAUAGAGACAGAGAAGGUUACGAGUGCAAUCGCUGGGGGCAGAGGUCCGGGCAGGGACGGAAAGCCUGGUCCGGUUCCUAAAAAAAGAAAAGAAGUAUCAACUCGAGGAUCUGCAAGAAAAGACUCAAAGACAGCCAAUGAAGGGACAUGGGAUAGCCUAUUAGGGGAAAAAGGAAGCUUUAUAGAGGAAAGAUGGGCACUAGCCGAGAGAAAGAAGCACAAAAAGAAGCCUAAGGGAGAGAAUCUUUCGUCCACCAAGGACUUUUAGGUUCUUCUUCUUCUAAUCCUUCCGACAACAGCGCUUACUUCUAUGACACCACCACCGGUACCGGUUAGGAGAGCAGCUUUUUUGCCCACUUCUCUCAUUAUAGUCAUUUGUGGCAUUUUUCCUUCAAAGAGAUGAUUCAAUAGCAGUAGCGCCAGUCAUGAACCCAGGAGCUCCAACUCGUACUCAUAGUUAAGCAGCGGCAAGACUAAGAAGGGCAAGAGCCAGAGCUUCUAUUUACUCAACUGCUGAUUCAAUUGCGACAAGAGCAGAUUCGAGAGCAUCAAUGAAUGUGCUUGCGUCCUCUUCUUUAUUAUACCUCCCAAUGGGAACUGUGCACAACCGAUUCCUCCACCUCAUCUGCACCUCAAAAGAGGGAAUUCUAGAGCAGCUAAAAAUAGGAAAAGCACUAGAAUGUUUCAAAAGGCUAUGGCCCCGAACAUGCCGUUUACCUAAAUGAGGUUUAAAAGGUGGGGCUCCCGAUUUCCUAAUCUGUCUCGAUCUCUAUCCCAUACAUUACGUUGGUAAA
rnacentral:lncRNA from 1 species